rnacentral:rRNA from 1 species
GUGGGGAAUUUUGGACAAUGGACGAAAGUCUGAUCCAGCGACGCCGCGUGAAGGACGAAGGUUUUCGGAUUGUAAACUUCUUUUGCAGGGGAAAAAUGCGCGCAAGCGUUUGAUUGUACUCUGUGAAUAAGCCACGGCUAACUACGUGCCAGCAGCCGCGGUAAUACGUAGGUGGCGAGCGUUACUCGGAAUUACUAGGCGUAAAGCGCGUGUAGGCGGGAGCUUAAGUCUGCUGUGAAAUCUCGUGGCUUAACCACGAGCGGCCGGUAGAUACUGGGCUUCUUGAAUUCGGUAGAGGUAACUGGAAUUCCAAGUGUAGCGGUGAAAUGCGUAGAUAUUUGGAAGAACGCCAAAGGCGAAAGCAGGUUACUGGGCCGCAAUUGACGCUGAGACGCGAAAGCUAGGGGAGCAAACAGGAUUAGAAACCCGGGUAGUCC